UCGCACCUACCGAUUGAACGUUCCGGUGAGACCUUGGGAUUCCGAUUUGUUUCAUUUAUUUGAGACUUUUUGGGAAAACUUGAGCAAACCUUAACGUUUAGAGGAAGGUG
rnacentral:rRNA from 1 species